rnacentral:pre_miRNA from 1 species
ACUGGAGGGGGGGGUCCCUUAGCUUGGAUUGCAAGAGGGUGUAGGCCAGGCCAAAGGACCCCACCAGUGCAUG